rnacentral:rRNA from 1 species
GACGAACGCUGGAGGCGUGCUUAACACAUGCAAGUCGAACGAUGAAAUGGAGCUCGCUCCAUGGAUUAGUGGCGAACGGGUGAGUAACACGUGAGUAACCUGCCCUUAAUUUUGGAAUAACCCAGGGAAACCUGGGCUAAUACCGGAUAAGUAAACCUGUGGCAUCACAUGGUUUUGGAAAGUUUUUCUAUUAAGGAUGGAUUCGGGGCCUAUCAGCUUGUUGGUGGGGUAAUGGCUCACCAAGGCGACGACGGGUAGCCGGCCUGAGAGGGUGAACGGCCACACUGGGACUGAGACACGGCCCAGACUCCUACGGGAGGCAGCAGUGGGGAAUAUUCCGCAAUGGACGAAAGUCUGACGGAGCAACGCCGCGUGAGUGAUGAAGGCUUUCGGGUCGUAAAACUCUGUUGUUAGGGAAGAACAAGUGCUAGUUGAAUAAGCUGGCACCUUGACGGUACCUAACCAGAAAGCCACGGCUAACUACGUGCCAGCAGCCGCCGUAA